CCAAGGCGACGACGGGUAGCCGGCCUGAGAGGGUGACCGGCCACACUGGGACUGAGACACGGCCCAGACUCCUACGGGAGGCAGCAGUGGGGAAUAUUGCGCAAUGGGCGAAAGCCUGACGCAGCGACGCCGCGUGGGGGAUGACGGCCUUCGGGUUGUAAACCUCUUUCAGCAGGGACGAAGCGAAAGUGACGGUACCUGCAGAAGA
rnacentral:rRNA from 1 species